rnacentral:rRNA from 1 species
UCCCUCCGUGUGCCGUUCGUCGACGUCGUCAGAGAGUUGUAUAUGCGCCAGAACGAACGCUGGCGGCGCGUUUUAAGCAUGCAAGUCGAGCGGCAAGGGCCUUCGGGCCCCUAGAGCAGCGGACGGGUGAGUAACACGUGGACAAUCUGCCCCCCGGCCCGGGAUAGCCCAGGGAAACCUGGAUUAAUACCGGAUGAGACGGGACCCGCGAUGGCGGGACCCGGGAAAGGCGCUGCGGCGCCGCCGGGGGAUGAGUCUGCGUCCCAUUAGCUAGACGGCGGGGUAACGGCCCACCGUGGCGACGAUGGGUAGCCGGCCUGAGAGGGUGGACGGCCACAUUGGAACUGAGACACGGUCCAGACUCCUACGGGAGGCAGCAGCUAAGAAUCUUCCGCAAUGGGCGAAAGCCUGACGGAGCGACGCCCGCGUGAACGAAGAAGGCCGUGAGGUUGUAAAGUUCUUUUCGGGAGGGGGAACAACCGUGGCAGGGAAUGGCCGCGGGAUGACGUGAAUCCCGGAAUAAGCCCCGGCUAACUACGUGCCAGCCGCAGC